rnacentral:rRNA from 1 species
GACGAACGCUGGCGGCGUGCUUAACACAUGCAAGUCGAACGGAAAGGCCCUGCUUUUGUGGUGUGCUCGAGUGGCGAACGGGUGAGUAACACGUGAGUAACCUGCCCUUGACUUUGGGAUAACUUCAGGAAACUGGGGCUAAUACCGGAUAGGAGCUCCUGCUGCAUUGUGGGGGUUGGAAAGUUUCGGCGGUUGGGGAUGGACGCGCGGCUUAUCAGCUUGUUGGUGGGGUAGUGGCUUACCAAGGCUUUGACGGGUAGCCGGCAUGAGAGGGUGACCGGCCACAUUGGGACUGAGAUACGGCCCAGACUCCUACGGGAGGCAGCAGUGGGGAAUAUUGCACAAUGGGCGGAAGCCUGAUGCAGCAACGCCGCGUGCGGGAUGACGGCCUUCGGGUUGUAAACCGCUUUCGCCUGUGACGAAGCGUGAGUGACGGUAAUGGGUAAAGAAGCACCGGCUAACUACGUG